rnacentral:rRNA from 1 species
AGGACGAACGCUGGCGGCGUGCUUAACACAUGCAAGUCGAGCGGAAAGGCCCUUCGGGGUACUCGAGCGGCGAACGGGUGAGUAACACGUGAGCAACCUGCCCUUGGCUCUGGGAUAGCCUCCGGAAACGGGGAUUAAUACCGGACAUUCACUUUCUCCUGCAUGGGGGGUUGGUGGAAAGUUUUUCGGCCAGGGAGGGGCUCGCGGCCUAUCAGCUUGUUGGCGGGGUAACGGCCCACAAGGCGACGACGGGUAG